CUUCCUCAAAACCAGAACCAACACUUCAACACAAACAUAAAAUGGAGUCAUCACGCAAGUUCUUCCCUGCCAUAGCUGUCCUCCUCCUGCUUAUCGUCGCCACACAGCUGGCGCCAACGGAGGCGAGGGAUUGCGAGACGGCGAGCAGCAAGUUCACCGGGAUGUGCGUCAUAGCUGCCAACUGCGAGCACCUGUGCAAGGCGGAGGGGUUCUUGGGCGGCGCCUGCAGGGGCUUCCGUCGCCGCUGCAUGUGCAGCACCAUGUGCUAGGCCAAUAUAUAUAUACUGCCUUCAUCAUACAUAUGAUCACAUACGUACAGUUCAGUUCAUCAUAUAUCGUGCGUGUGAAUUAAUCCAACUGAUCGAAUCGAUCGCCCGAAAUGGGAUAUGCGUUCGCUGUUUGGAAUGCGUCUUGCUUUGAAUAAUUUUCGGCUGCACCCAUGGAAUUGUUUUUUAACUAUGGUUAAAAGAGUAGGACGGUAUGAUGUGUUUCCAGUAAA